rnacentral:rRNA from 1 species
CCUACGGGAGGCAGCAGUGAGGAAUAUUGGUCAAUGGCCGUGAGCCUGAACCAGCCAAGUCGCGUGAGGGAAGACUGCCCUAUGGAUUGUAAACCUCUUUUGUCGGGGAGCAAAAGAUGCCACGCGUGGCGGUUUGCGAGUACCCGAUGAAAAAGCACCGGCUAACUCCGUGCCAGCAGCCGCGGUAAUACGGAGGAUGCGAGCGUUAUCCGGAUUUAUUGGGUUUAAAGGGAGCGCAGGCGGGAUGUAAAGUGGGCGGUAAAAUUGUGUGGCUCAACCUCUGAGAGCCGUUGAAACUGGUUACCUUGAGUGCGCGAGAGGUAUGCGGAAUGCGUGGUGUAGCGGUGAAAUGCAUAGAUAUCACGCAGAACUCCGAUUGCGAAGGCAGCAUACCGGCGCUUAACUGACGCUGAUGCACGAAAGUGUGGGUAUCGAACAGGAUUAGAUACCCGAGUAGUC